UCGUACUACUUCUGAAAAUGUAUUUCGGACGCUAUUUCUGCUCGCAAACAGCCGCCGGCCACCGCCGCCGCUACCAACGGCCGGUGAAGCAAGUGAUUAAAUCUAACUUCUCCGAGACUUUAGCUGAAAUCAAGGAAAGCAUCUUCAGCUCCGAUUUCGUAGCGGUUUCGUUGCAGAAGACCGGCAGCUACUCCGCGCCGUGGCAAAAAUGCCUCCCGAUUGACACGGAGGAGACCGCUUAUUUGAAGGCCAAGCGCGCCGCUGAGCGAUUUCAGAUUCUACAGUUCUCGGUUUGCCCUUUCUCGGUCAAAGCUUCUAAGCUCAUCGCCAAUCCGUAUAACUUCCAGUUGUUUCCGAGGCAUGAGGUGAAAGCUGGGAUGCCAUCUUAUGUUUUUUCAUGCCAAUCAUCGAGUUUGGCCUCUAUGGCGCAAGAAGGUUUUGAUUUCAAUGCUUGCAUAUACAAUGGCAUAUCAUACAUGUCUAGAGCACAAGAAUCAGCUGCAACAGUUCAAACUCGAAGUGUAUUACUGAACGGUGGCGGUUUGCUAUCUACUUCAGCCUUGUCAGUUGCAGAUGUUAUAUUUUCUGAAAGGAUCAAAACUCGAGUUAAGAACUGGAUGAAUGGUUGUAACAAUCAACAUAAAACUGAGGUUGCAGAUUAUCUGAUAAGUUCAUUGAGGAAACUAGUAGAAAGAUCUGAAAACUAUGGUUCCAGACCAUCCUUGACCAUAGAUGUCUGCAGUGAACGCCAGGUGCAGCUUACAUCGGAGGCGUUGAAAGAGUUUGUUAAUAUUGUACUAGUACGUCCUCCGGCAAAAGCAGGGGUAGAGGCUGUUCAAGUUGUUUUGACGUGUUCAGAAGAAGAUAAGAAUCUUCUUGUGAAAGAAAUUCAAGAUCUGGAAGAGGAGCAGAGAAGGCUUGUUAGUGGCUUUCGAGAGGUGAUAGACUUGAUUUCUACUUCUCAGAGGCCGGUUGUUGUGCACAACUCACUUAACGAUUUUGCUUUCAUACAUGAAAAGUUCCUUGCUCCACUUCCUCCAACUACAAAUGAAUUCUCGAGUUCUUUGCUUUCGGUUUUUCCUCAUAUACUCGAUGUCAACCAUCUUAUGAAAGAACUUGGAUUAUUUGAUAAAAUGAAUAACUUGUCAUCAGCCAUUUCCUAUCUGGAUAGUAGGUUCUCUGCGUCAGUAGAUAUGGAAGUUUCUUAUGAAGCGGAGAAGACAGACUGUGUCGAUGUUCAUAGGCAUAGUGUUAUGAAAGUAUGCCAGUUGUUUGUUAAAUUGUGCUCUAUACUGAAAAUCUCUUUAGAGAUUCCUGAAGGAGGUCAUACCCAUUUGCCUGCUUUACUUCAAUGCAGUUCCAAUAUGUUUUGUUCAAGUGAUGUUAGAGAUCCUUGCAAUGAUGACGUGAGAAUUUGGACAUCCAAAAGUAGAACGGUUAGCUUAAGAAAUUUGGUAUUCUUGUGGGGGUUUAGAAAGGGAAUGUCGGCCCAAGAUCUGAAAGACGUUCUGUGUAAUUCACAUGAUGUUUUCUCGGAAGAAUUUGAUGUUAAGAUGGUGGAUAGGAAAUGUGCUAUAGUUGUUUUCUGGACUCCUGGUUUCUCAAAAAGUUUUCUUGGGAUAAUGGAUUCUGGAGAACGAUUCUCUAAUAAGCUGGAAAAUAUGAUAUUCGAAGGCCUGAAAGCUGCAGAUUACGAGACAUAUAGAAGAGUUUGCAAAUCUGAUUUGUGGAAACCAGAUCUAGCAGAGUGCUUGGCCCAAGCCACAGAUGAAACCAAAGUAUUUUCUGGAGCCAAGAUGCAGCAGGAGAAAUCAGUAAUAUGCUGGAAUAAUGAUGAGAUGAUUAAUCUGGAUGAACUUUAACAUUCAUCAUUUUCAUGGCAUCACCUGGAAUAGGGCCUGUUAAACUAUUGUCCAAUUUCUACGCACUGUGAUGGGUUAAGAUGCCCCACGUACAGAUUUUCAGUUGAUGAAUAUCUUGAAAGCCAUGGCGUACCCGUUGGCACUUAAUAAGUUCCAUUCAAGAACUUGGACAGCCAUCCACGCUCAAUUUGACCGUUAUCUUCCAGUUCCAUUCUUGGUGAGGGAUCUCUACUGCUCGAAUGAUUAGCUACUGAAGAUGGAUGCCGUUGAGUUACUUGAGUACAGUUGCAUAUGAAGUGCUUUUCCUGGGCUUUAGUCUCCUGCAGCUAAAGAAGAUUGAAAGCUACAGUUGUAAUUCCACCUGUUGACGAUAGUCACAAGUUAGAUUCAAUGGUAUCACAAACUCAAACUUGCUCUCAGAUUCACACAACGUUGCUAUUUUGUGUUUCAUAUUACAGCAGCAAGAUCUUUGAAGACAUCAUAUGGAUAUGCUGUUGGGAAUUCCACUUCUCGGUACUCCAUCACUUGAUCCAACCACUGAUGUUUCAGGAUACAGAAGCUCGUACAGGGAAUCAUCUUUCCCCCGUCUGUUCUUCAGCUUGGGGUCUCGGUUUCUAACUUGGAUUCUUUGCUUCACUUCUUCGAGGUCAUCUUUGAAACUUCCGAACAUCCGAAGUAUCCUUCCAUCUGCUAUCCAUUUCAGUGAAGGCUGUUGCCCUAAGCUCAUUUCACCGGACAAGCGCCUUGACAGAACAUCAAUCACAGCUAUUCCAAGAGCCGUCUCAAACUUUUCAGGUAACAUACUGAGAAAAUAUUUGUCUGGAUCUAUGAGAAGCUCGGCAAACUCCAUUGUCCCUUCAUAUGGAAUAGGUUUCCGACAUGCUGUUGGACGGUUUGGUGGAUAGCCUGCAUAGUCGUACUGUCCUAAGCUUAUUGCAGCAUGAUGAGCCGAGACAGUCCAUAUUAGAGUUGUUAUAGUCUCAAUCAGUUCAGACACAGUUUUCAUUUCAUACCACCAUGUUUCGUUGCACUUAUCCCCAUGACCGACAUAUCUGAUCUCCGACCACCACUCUGCAAUCUCAUUGUCGGACCUUAAAGAGGCGUCAUCUUCGUAGAAGUAAGAACAGUAUUCUAUCACCCAGUUUUUUAUGGCUAUCCAAAUAUCAAGUCCAUCUGCACCAUAGGGAUAAUCUUGAAAGAGAAGUUCGAUGUUUUCUGGCUGAUUCGGGUUAUAUCUGGCAAAACCUCUGAGAAAUGUUUUCGUAGAACAGAAGACUGUAAGAGAAGCGCAUAAAUUUAAGCUAUGGCUGUGCAGAAAUAAUGAAUAAUACCUUUUGAUCAGGUCUGCAGGGAGGCUUUGCUCAUCAAAUCUCCAGCUUCUGUAUAGAGAUGAUGAGAGCUCCAUUGAGAUGUCACCGGUAAACAGUAUCUUUUCAAGAAUUCCUCCAGCAUUUACCAACAUGCUCCUUGCCAGUGCAUUUACUUGCAAGGUGUCUUUGAAAUGAGGUUCGAGUAACCGGUGAAUGGGGUGCAUAGCACUCAACUUCCUUUGAGUUGCAAUGAUAAAUGGCUCGACUACUGCAUGUGUAUGUAGCCUAGAAAAAGGUGAACUGCUUCAGUAAAUGGUUUCAAAUACUAAGAUCAGAGUGAAAUAGCAUGAUAGUCUCAUUGCUCACCAGUGGCUGACUAGAUGAUGGUAAACUGAGUCUGCUGCUGCUACAUGAGCUUUUGCAAGUUGCCAGAGGGCAGCUUCUGUCCCUUCAUGUGCUGGACGUAAAACUCUGCUGAUUUCCUCAUGGUACAAAGAGCCAGGCAAGCUCAGUUCUAUGGCUACUGGUUUCAGUGUGCAAUCGUCUCUCAAGAAGAGUAACGUGCGUGAUGCAUAAGCACAUACACCCUCAUCUCUGUUUAUUCUCGUCAAGAAUGGCAUCAGAUAAUCAUGGUGAUCUAACUUGAAAAGUCUCCACUGGUUCAUUGCCUGCAUAUAAACGGUAGAAGAUGAAGAUUGUAGAGAGUUAUUGCAUAUCAAGAUGGAUUCCUUUCUACCUCUGUGAUUGUCAGACCAUCAAGGUUAUGCUCUAUGUCAGAUUCUUUUAUCGAACUCUUCACUCCAUUGCUGCCUUCUGGAGGGAAAUUCUGCAAUAUAUAGAAAACUUGUGUGAAUCCGUGUUGAUAAUAAGUGUAAUUGAGAAACAAGGGCUUCAGAAAUUCGAUCAAAGCUGAUGGCUUUUUCAUUGUUCGGAGGUUACCUGCAGAGAUGAAAUUACAGUUGGAUUAGUUCCAGCGAGCAUCUGCCGUCCAAAUUCAUUGUCGUCCAUACAUGCAAAUUGGUUCCCUGCGAUGCAUAACAUCUAAAUAUGUCAUAAUUCUGAUCUUAGUUUUGCAUCCAGUGAUAAGUAGCAUUACCUGCUGCAAUCCGAGGCAACUGGAACUUAGCAGGUUUCUCCGUGAUCACUUGUUUUAGCUUCUUGAAAAGAUCAUCUGACAGUUCGUGUUUUAAACGCUUCAACAUCCAUUCAUCAACCGAUUGAUUUCUGUUUCUCACAAACAUCCUAUGAAUCUGAUCGAAGGACUCAAAAUGGCUCGUUUCUUGGUUGAAGACCGCUCUUGCUUCAGGCAUCACAAAAUGGACAGCAGCCCUUACUGCGUUUGUUGUGAAUUCAGAGAGUUUCUGUUGGCUAAAGCGCUCAUCUGGAGGUACCAUAGUUGUUUGAAGGGCGGCCGGUUCUCAACCUACGCGGAUAUGGAAACGACUGUGUUCCACCUAAAACAGGUCUUCCAUAUUCAGGGCUUCUUUCAGUUCCACCAGAGCAGGCGGUGUUUGGCUCGGGAGAUAACACUAAUGAUGAAAAGACACAGAAAAUCAAAUCACGGUAAAAUUCAGCGAUCAAGAAGUGCUGUAUCUAACAAAACUAACCGUGUUUGGGAAGAAAACACGCUCUUGUUUGGUUAAGUGGAAAGGAUAGAGCCACGAGUUGCAUUCGAAAUGAACUAUGUUGUUGUAUCCUUGCAAAGAUAUAUUUCGAAGGAAAAACUCGUGUUUGUGCUCGUUUUUCACGGAGAUUGCUCCCGGAGCUCCGAAGUCUGGCUCAAUUAUGAACUCCACUUCAUACCGCAGAACUUUACCACAGGAGCUGUUGUCCAUUUCCUCUUCGAUGCUUCCUUUUUGGAGAACAGCUUUCUGUGUAAGUUUUCCUUUUCCGGUGCCUAGUAUUAACAUGAGAAAACAAUAUAUUAUUUUGAUAUAAUUCACACAAGAUGUCUCGAA